UUAACCAUCGAGAAAUGAAAAAAAGGCCAAAUCAUUGCCUAUAUAAAAUGCAAGAUCACACGACCAAGCAACCACGAAGAGAGUUCCAGAAAGCUAGUAAGAACACUUCUGUCUCACUUUAAAUGGGGGGUCAGAUCAGUGUUACAGUAGGCUUGGGAGUGACUCGUACCGAUGGACGCGAAACCGAAACUCGCAUCUAUGGCCCAACGAAGACCUUCGACUUGGACAAGGCAAAAAGCCAGGAUCAAAAGACAGGAAAGAUAAAAAAGGAUGGCGAUAAGAGCAAGUGAGAUGUAAUCAGCAAGCAAAAUAAGUGCAGGGAAGAAGAUCGCAAAUUCGCAAUUGGUGAUUGUGUUGGUGACACUGUUUCGCGUGGAUCCGUUCAACUACAAAUUAUUAGAUCUUCUUGUUUUCUCUAUCAAACUCAAAUUAUCGGAUCUGAUACUGAAAUGUUGUAAUACUUCACAUCCGACACUAUCCGCGCCGUUACAGUUAUGAGAAAUACCAUAUGAACACCAUAUAUCGGGUUUACAAUUAGGCCCUUUACAAUUA